rnacentral:lncRNA from 10 species
CAAUCAGCGAGACUCCGUGGGAGUAGGACCCUCCGAGCCAGGUGUGGGAUAUAAUCUCGUGGUGCGCCAUUUUUCAAGCCCGUCAGAAAAGCGCAGUAUUCGGGUGGGAGUGACCCGAUUUUCCAGGAGUCCUAACCUAAAAUAAAAUAGAACAUACUGUGCUUAAAGCAAGGGGGGAAUCAUGUAACAAUAAAACCAGUGAAGAAAAUUCUAAUGCUCAGGUAAGAAGGACAGGAGUGCUACGUACAGACAAAAAGGUUGAAAUGCAAAAAAAUAAAAAGUGGAAAACAGCUGGUCCUCAGGAUCCUCCAGCCUUUGCCAAGGAAAAGUGGUUUUAAUCACUGAAGAAUGAGGCUUCAACAUAUGGAAAGACUGUAAGGUGUUCCUGGACAGCAAGUGAGUGACUUGCUCACAGGCGGUAAUUCAGGGACCCAGGUUUCUUCUACCUGGUAGCUCUACUGUCCUUCAGAACCUCAGAGCCCUGUGCAUUCAGCCAGCAGGAGAAAGACCACUACUAAGGUCAUUCACUUUGGGAGAAGCCAGUCUUCAUGCCAUGAGGACGUUCAGGCAGCCCUGUGGAGAGAACCACAUGGAAAGGAUCUGAGGUCUCUCACCAGCACCAAUUUGCCAGCUAUGGGAAUGGGCCACCUUGGAAGGAGACUGUCCAGCCCAAGUGAAGGCUGCAGAUAACUGCAGCUUUGGCCAACAUUUGGCUAUAUUGCUUUGGGAAAUCUCAAGCCAGAACCAUCUGGCCAAGCUGCUCUUAAAUUCCUGAUCCACAGAAGUUUUGGAAGGUAACAAGACACACAAUUCUUACAGAUCCCUCAAGAGCUGUUUGAAAAAUAGUGGAUUUUAAAAUCUAGAAGGAGUGUGAAAGGAACCCAGGGGCUUUGCCAAUGGAGUGUCAUCAUUCAGGCCCCAUUUUGAAUCUAAACCAUCUGAUGAACCCUUUGCUGACACAUCAGCCUAUUGCUUCCUGGAAGAAUAAUUUGCACUUCAAGACUAAUUCUGAAACAAUACAAUUGCAAGGAGGAAACACAUUUGGAGUAGAGAAAUUAUAUAUGUAUAUAAAACUUAUUAUCUAACCAGGACAUAUUUGAGGUGCCAGACUAUGUGAGUGAGUGUGCUUUCACAUGACUUCAAUCCCAGCCGUCUGCAUCCAUCUGAGAGAUCCUGAGCCAAAACCUGCCCAACCAAGUCACUCCUGAGUCCCUGACCCACAAAAACUGUGAGAGAUAAUAAAUGAUUGUUAUAGUUUGAAGCCA